GCAGGACAGUGACCCUCCAGGACUGGAGUUGACGCCUGAUGUAGGGGGACUUGCACCUGAUCUAGUGUAGUAACUGUUAAUCAAUAAUGAAAUACACUGCUGUAUUCUUCCCAUUAUUAUGUGUUGAUUUGUAUUUUAUGUGUUUGGGGUAUUUUUUGUUGUUACUUAUUUUAUUUAUAUUUUUAUUUUAUUUAU